GUCCGCACAGUAAACGAUGAAUACUUGCUUUGGCGAUAUACGGUCGGAGGCAAAGCGAAAGCGAUAAGUAUUCCACCUGGGGAGUACGCCGGCAACGGUGAAACUCAAAGGAAUUGACGGGGCCCGCACAAGCGGAGGAACAUGUGGUUUAAUUCGAUGCUACGCGAGGAACCUUACCCGGGCUUGAAAGUUAGUGAAUGCCGAGGAAACUUGGCAGGCCCCGCAAGGGACACGAAACUAGGUGCUGCAUGGUUGUCGU
rnacentral:rRNA from 1 species